UUAGCACUCUGCAGGAAAGAAC
rnacentral:miRNA from 1 species